AUGGAGCUGCCGCCGCUCAAGCUCAACGUCGCCCGAGGCGAGGAGGACAGGAUCAGCGCACUUCCCGACGAGCUCCUCCUCCGGAUCCUCGAGCGGCUCGGCCUGCGCCGGGCGGUCCGCGCCGGCACGGUCUCCAAGCGGUGGCGGCACCUCCCUCACCAGCUCUCGUUCGUGACACUCGACGUCCGCUGCUUCCGCCGCGCCACGCUGGGCGAAACCAUGGACGCCUUCACGGCCGCUUUGACGUCCGUCUGUGCUCAGCGCAACUGCGAGUGCCAGCGCGGCCGUGUCAUGGCCAUGAAGGCCAUCUGCCUCCGCUUCUUCCUGUCGGCCUCUCAUCUGAGCUCCAUCGGCAGCGCCGUCGAGGAUGUCGUCAGCCAUGGCAAGACCAGACGCCUCGCCUUCCAAGUAUCCCCGCCCCCCGGGGUGAACUCCUUCCCGCAGAUCCCCGAGAUGGGGCAGCAAUUCAUGUCCUUCUCCCGCGCCCACCAGCCGGCCUUCCAGUGCCUCACCAGGCUACGCCUCAAGAGCCUUGCGUUCGGGAACUCUGACGUCGCCGCCCUCAUCGCUGCCUCCGAUAAGCUCGAGCAUCUCAACAUGAACUCCUGCGGACUGGUCGAUCAGCGCCACGUGCUAAAGAUUGACACACCGUGUUCUGUGAUCCAGGAGCUCGAGUUUAAGCGCUUUCAUUGCAAGCGCAUCCACCUCAUCUCCGUCCCCAGGCUCAGGACGGUGCUGUGCCAUUCUUGGCGCUCCAACAACCCUCCGAUGCGCUUUGGCUACGUUCCACAGCUUCGUCAAGUCAACCUCGCCUGUAAGGCCAAGGCGUGGCAGGUGUCAUUCCUGCUCAGCCGGUGCUUCUCAAGGAGGAGUGCAAAUAACCUGUUGAAAUUGCAUCUCAAUUUUCGCCACCAAAUGAUAUGGAUUCGGCCGGAACAUCCCAAGCAUCUCACUGCCAUAUUCAGAAAUCUGGCCGAAGUGUCUUUUUCUGGUAUCUUCCCUGAGUGUGAUCUGAGCUGGACCCUAUUUAUCCUCCAAGUUGCACCUGCCCUGCACAAGUUUACAUUAUCUCGAGAGCGGCAUGCAUGUGACAUACCGUCUGAGGACAGUGCUGACAAGACCAACGUGGUGUGGGAACCAUCCAAGGAUUUGAAGCACCUAAAGUUGAAGUUGCUCCGGAUGUACGGUUUUGAGGAUGAAGACAAGGUGACAAACUACAUAAGGCUAGUCAUGGAGCGAGCUGUGGGGCUGAAGAGAAUCGAGUUGCGUGGUGAAGUCCCAUGCGAGAAAUGCGAUGCCAUUUACCCAAGGAGAUCCCAGGUGGAUAAAGGUCGCAGGCGUCGGAUCAAGGAGCGACUCACACAUGAAUCCUCCUCGAACAUGGGGAUGAUAAUGCUCGUAGCAGCUAUGCCCGCGCGAUAG
rnacentral:rRNA from 1 species